AGACGUAGGGGGCGAGCGUUGUCCGGAAUUAUUGGGCGUAAAGGGCGUGUAGGCGGCCUGUCAAGUCAGCUGUGAAAUUCCCCGGCUCAACUGGGGGUGUGCAGUUGAAACUGGUGAGCUUGAGUGCAGGAGAGGAGGGUGGAAUUCCUGGUGUAGCGGUGAAAUGCGUAGAUAUCAGGAGGAACACCGGUGGCGAAGGCGACCUUCUGGCCUGUUACUGACGCUGAGGCGCGAAAGCCAGGGGAGCGAACAGGAUUAGAUACCCUGGUAGUCCUGGCUGUAAACGCUGGGUACUAGGUGUAGGCGGUUUAGAUACUGUCUGUGCCGUAGUUAACGCAUUAAGUACCCCGCCUGGGGAGUACGAUCGCAAGGUUGAA
rnacentral:rRNA from 1 species